rnacentral:rRNA from 1 species
AUUGAACGCUGGCGGCAGGCCUAACACAUGCAAGUCGAGCGAGCGGCGGACGGGUGAGUAAUGUCUGGGAAACUGCCUGAUGGAGGGGGAUAACUACUGGAAACGGUAGCUAAUACCGCAUACCAUCGGAUGUGCCCAUAUGGGAUUAGCUAGUAGGUGGGGUAAAGGCUCACCUAGGCGACGAUCCCUAGCGGGUCUGAGAGGAUGACCAGCCACCCUGGAACGGAGACCCGGUCCAGACGCUGACGGGAGGCAGCAGUGGGGAAUAUUGCACAAUGGGCGCAAGCCUGAUGCAGCCAUGCCGCGUGUAUGAAGAAGGCCGUCGGGUUGUAAAGUACUUUCAGCGGGGAGGCGUUACUCGCAGAAGAAGCACCGGCUAACUCCGUGCCAGCAGCCGCGGUAAUUC